rnacentral:rRNA from 1 species
GCAUAUCAAUAAGCGGAGGAAAAGAAACCAACAGGGAUUGCCCCCAGUAACGGCGAGUGAAGCGGCAACAGCUCAAAUUUGAAAUCUGGCUUCGGCCCGAGUUGUAAUUUGUAGAGGAAGCUUCUGGCGCGGUGCCAUCCGAGUCCCCUGGAACGGGGCGCCAUAGAGGGUGAGAGCCCCGUAUGGAUGGAUGCCUAGCCUGUGUGAAGCUCCUUCGACGAGUCGAGUAGUUUGGGAAUGCUGCUCAAAAUGGGAGGUAAAUUCCUUCUAAAGCUAAAUAUUGGCCAGAGACCGAUAGCGCACAAGUAGAGUGAUCGAAAGAUGAAAAGCACUUUGAAAAGAGGGUUAAACAGCACGUGAAAUUGUUGAAAGGGAAGCGCUUGUGACCAGACUUGCGCCAGGCUGAUCAUCCGGUGUUCUCACCGGUGCACUCUGCCUGGCACAGGCCAGCAUCAGUUUUGGUGGGGGGAUAAAGGGCGCAGGAACGUAGCUCCUCCGGGAGUGUUAUAGCCUGUGUCGUAAUGCCCUCGCCGGGACUGAGGACCGCGCAUCUGCAAGGAUGCUGGCGUAAUGGUUAUCAGCGACCCGUCUUGAAACACGGACCAAGGAGUCAAGGUUUUGCGCGAGUGUUUGGGUGUAAAACCCGCACGCGUAAUGAAAGUGAACGUAGGUGAGAGCUUCGGCGCAUCAUCGACCGAUCCUGAUGUAUUCGGAUGGAUUUGAGUAAGAGCGUUAAGCCUUGGACCCGAAAGAUGGUGAACUAUGCUUGGAUAGGGUGAAGCCAGAGGAAACUCUGGUGGAGGCUCGCAGCGGUUCUGACGUGCAAAUCGAUCGUCAAAUCUGAGCAUGGGGGCGAAAGACUAAUCGAACCAUCUAGUAGCUGGUUACCGCCGA